rnacentral:rRNA from 1 species
GACGAACGCUGGCGGCGUGCCUAAUACAUGCAAGUAGAACGCUGAAGGAGGAGCUUGCUCUUCUGGAUGAGUUGCGAACGGGUGAGUAACGCGUAGGUAACCUGCCUGGUAGCGGGGGAUAACUAUUGGAAACGAUAGCUAAUACCGCAUAAGAGUAGAUGUUGCAUGACAUUUGCUUAAAAGGUGCAAUUGCAUCACUACCAGAUGGACCUGCGUUGUAUUAGUUAGUUGGUGAGGUAACGGCUCACCAAGGCGACGAUACAUAGCCGACCUGAGAGGGUGAUCGGCCACACUGGGACUGAGACACGGCCCAGACUCCUACGGGAGGCAGCAGUAGGGAAUCUUCGGCAAUGGACGGAAGUCUGACCGAGCAACGCCGCGUGAGUGAAGAAGGUUUUCGGAUCGUAAAGCUCUGUUGUAAGAGAAGAACGAGUGUGAGAGUNGAAAGUUCACACUGNGACGG